GUGCUCACUUGGGCAGCACAUACACUUAAAAUUGGAAGGAUACAGAGAAGGUUCAUAUGACCUCUGUGUGAGUAUGACACACAAAUUCAUGGAGCUUUCCAUAUUUAG
rnacentral:snRNA from 3 species